rnacentral:rRNA from 1 species
GUACACGCUGUGACUAGCAUAUCAAUAAGCGGAGGAAAAGAAACUAACAAGGAUUCCCUCAGUAACGGCGAGUGAAGCGGGAAGAGCUCAAAUUUGAAAUCUUGAAAGGUCACCUUUCACGAAUUGUAGUUUAAAGAAGUGUUUUCUGUUACGAUCGUAAUAUAAGUUCUUUGGAAUAGGACAUCACAGAGGGUGAGAAUCCCGUCUAUGAUUGCGAUUUGUAGCUUUGUGAUACACUUUCAAAGAGUCGGGUUGUUUGGGAAUGCAGCCCAAAACGGGAGGUAAAUUUCUUCUAAGGCUAAAUAUUGGCGAGAGACCGAUAGCGAACAAGUACCGUGAGGGAAAGAUGAAAAGAACUUUGAAAAGAGAGUUAAACAGUACGUGAAAUUGUCAAAAGGGAAGCGUUUGACACCAGUGUUGUUUUCUCGAAAAUCAAUUAAAAGUGGCUCGAUUUUGCUAUUGCUGAGACCUUAAAAGCUCACUGUACAUUUUUCGUGUCUUUUUUAAUGCACUUUUCGUUUAACAAGUCAACAUCAGUUUCUUUUGUUGUAAAAGGGUCAUUGGAAGGUGGCUUUCUUUUCGGAGAAAGUGUUUAUAGCCUUUGGCCUCUGCAAUCGGAGAGACUGAGGUCUGCAGCGUAGACUCUUCGGGGUUAGAUACAUUUGUGCUAAGUUAUAGCUUUUUAUAGACAACUUGUUGACUAUAAUUAGUCUUGUAGCUUACUCGCUUAUGCUAUUUUACCUACGCUUAGGAUGUUGACGCAUGAGAUAUACGC